CACGUAGGGGGCGAGCGUUGUCCGGAAUUACUGGGCGUAAAGGGCGUCUAGGCGGUCGUACAAGUUCUGAGUGAAAGUCCCCGGCUCAACCGGGGGAGGUCUUGGGAGACUGUACGACUUGAGGGCAGGAGAGGGGAGCGGAAUUCCCGGUGGAGCGGUGAAAUGCGUAGAUAUCGGGAGGAACACCAGUGGCGAAGGCGGCUCUCUGGCCUGACCCUGACGCUGACGCGCGAAAGCUAGGGGAGCGAACGGG
rnacentral:misc_RNA from 1 species